AUCUUUGAACCAGAAACAAAAAAUUCGCUCAUCUGAAAACAAUAUCAUUCAAUUUUUCGCUAUAAAAAUGCGGGCCGAUCAUCAUCAAAUCCGAGUAUGUUCUACACCACUAACGAGCAUCUGUUUGUGGUUGGGUUUUUGAUUC
ensembl:ncRNA C05C9.8 ncRNA